rnacentral:lncRNA from 1 species
UUUUCUUCCUCUUCCUCAAUUCAUCACUCACUUUCUCUCUCUAUAUCUCCUUCUCUCUCUACCUUCUGUAACAUAUUAGACACCGCCACCACCAGCCCCCGCCAUUACCACUCCCUCACCACCACCACCGCCGCCCUCAUUACCACCCGCACCACCACCAUAGUCGCCGCCGCCGCCAUUACCACCACCACAGACACCAUCUCUUAGUCGGCCUCGCUUAGAUCUGAAAAGAGCCAUCAAACCUACCUUAGUUUCAUUGACCUGUAUCCAAAUGGCAAGAGGGUAUAGAUGACGGCGACACAACUUGGGCUUCUUAUUUCGAUUCAGGUGGUGGCGAUUGGUGGUGAUGGCGGUGGGUGGUCGCCGGCGGUGAUGAUGGGGCUGGGUAGUGUUGAGAGAGAAGAGGAGAGAGUGCAGGGUAGUGAGAGAGAGAAGUGAUGAUUGUUUUGUUAUUUUUU